rnacentral:rRNA from 1 species
CCUACGGGUGGCUGCAGUGGGGAAUAUUGCACAAUGGGGGAAACCCUGAUGCAGCGACGCCGCGUGAGUGAAGAAGUAAUUCGUUACGUAAAGCUCUAUCAGCAGGGAAGAAACACUGACCUUACGGUCAGCAGACGGUACCUGAGUAAGAAGCCCCGGCUAACUACGGGCCAGCAGCCGCGGUAAUACGUAGGGGGCAAGCGUUAUCCGGAUUUACUGGGUGCAAAGGGAGCGUAGACGGUGUGCCAAGUCUGGAGUGAAAUGCCGCAGCUUAACUGCGGAACUGCUUUGGAAACUGGCGAACUAGAGUGGAGGAGGGGUGAGCAGAAUUCCAAGUGUAGCGGUGAAAUGCAUAGAUAUUAGGAGGAACACCGGUGGCGAAGGCGGCUUACUGGACCGUAACUGACGUUGAGGCUCGAAAGCGUGGGGAGCAAACAGGAUUAGAUACCCUGGUAGUC